AACGUAGGAGACAAACGUUAUCCGGAGUUACUGGGCGUAAAGGGCGUGCAGGCGGUCGACUAAGUCUGGCGUGAAAGCUCUUCGGCUAAACCGGGAGAGGUCGUUGGAUACUGGUUGACUAGAGGACGGUAGAGGCGUGUGGAAUUCCGGGUGUAGUGGUGAAAUGCGUAGAGAUCCGGAGGAACACCAGUGGCGAAGGCGACACGCUGGGCCGUACCUGACGCUGAUACGCGACAGCAUGGGGAGCGAACGGG
rnacentral:rRNA from 1 species